rnacentral:rRNA from 1 species
UGGGGAAUUUUGCACAAUGGGGGAAACCCUGAUGCAGCGACGCCGCGUGGUUUAGAAGGCCUUCGGGUUGUAAAAAUCUUUUUUACGGGAUGAAAAUGACAGUACCGUAAGAAUAAGGUCCGGCUAAAUACGUGCCAGCAGCCGCGGUAAUACGUAUGGACCGAGCGUUGUCCGGAAUCAUUGGGCGUAAAGGGUACGUAGGCGGCCUAGUAAGUUAGAAGUGAAAUAAUAUAGCUCAACUAUAUAAAGCUUUUAAAACUGCUAGGCUUGAGAGAUGGAAGGGAAAGUGGAAUUCCUAGUGUAGCGGUGAAAUGCGCAGAUAUUAGGAAGAAUACCGGUGGCGAAGGCGACUUUCUGGUCAUCAUCUGACGCUGAGGUACGAAAGCGUGGGUAGCAAACAGG